rnacentral:rRNA from 1 species
GACGAACGCUGGCGGCGUGCUUAACACAUGCAAGUCGAACGGAAAGGCCCUGCUUUUGUGGGGUGCUCGAGUGGCGAACGGGUGAGUAACACGUGAGUAACCUGCCCUUGACUUUGGGAUAACUUCAGGAAACUGGGGCUAAUACCGGAUAGGAGCUCCUGCUGCAUGGUGGGGGUUGGAAAGUUUCGGCGGUUGGGGAUGGACUCGCGGCUUAUCAGCUUGUUGGUGGGGUAGUGGCUUACCAAGGCUUUGACGGGUAGCCGGCCUGAGAGGGUGACCGGCCACAUUGGGACUGGGGUACGGCCCAGGCUCCUACGGGAGGCAGCAGUGGGGAAUAUUGCGCAAUGGGCGGAAGCCUGAUGCGGCGACGCCGCGUGCGGGAUGACGGCCUUCGGGUUGUAAACCACUUUCGCCUGUGACGAAGCGUGCGUGACGGUAAUGGGUAAGGAAGCACCGGCUAACUACGUG